rnacentral:rRNA from 1 species
UACAGAGGUCCUAAGCGUUGUUCGGAUUCACUGGGCGUAAAGGGUGCGUAGGCGGUCGGGUAAGUCUGAUGUGAAAUCUCACAGCUUAACUGUGAAACUGCAUUGGAUACUAUUCGGCUUGAGAGUUGGAGGGGGGACUGGAAUUCUUGGUGUAGCAGUGAAAUGCGUAGAUAUCAAGAGGAACACCAGUGGCGAAGGCGAGUCCCUGGACAACUUCUGACGCUGAGGCACGAAAGCUAGGGGAGCAAACAGG